CACAAAUCACAGAUAAGUUUUCUCCAAGUGAACACACUUGUUUACCACCCAGUGAAGAUAUAAAACCUUAUCUAAAAGCAUGUAUAUUCUUUCCUAUGUUCUGUCUUGAUGGCCAGGGAAUUUAGGCCCAGCCUUACUUUUGGACUUAACUUUUUUUCCUCUGUGUGGGAUGUCCUUUCCCUUUUGAUGGGUUUUCGGAAAAUAGAAAGAAGAACUCCAGUUUUUCUUUAAACAAGAGGAGAAUUUAGGACUUGAAAUUAAAACGAUGCAUGUUGCAACAGAACUGUUACACGUCUAUAGAUAAAGACCAAACAGCAGCUGGGGAUCAAGGGAUCCCCGCACAGUCCACCUAUCAGGUUACACAGUUGAGGGGCUUGUUCUGAAGUAGAGCCUCAGAAGACAAAUCAGAGGCUGAGUCCCCAUUACUGAGAGGACAUAUGGUCCCACAGUACUUGCUAUGAGAAAGUCUUCUGUCUCUGACAACUCUAACCAAUGCCGUGAUUCAGUUUAACAGUUUUUGUUGAACUGGAAGACUGUCAAAAUGGCUUCCGGACAAUUGUCUGUCCAAGUACAUGAUACGUUAAUCUUUCAAGUCAAUGGGAAGCAUACUUAAAGUAUAAAAUGGCCGCAUGUCAGGUGACAGGGAAAAUCCACGAUUAGCUAUUGCUACUGCAAUCCUGCAACUCACCUUGUCACAGUGAUUAGUCUAUGAAUGACACUUAAAUAAAGCCUAAACCAAUCAAUGCUUUUUUUUUUCUUUCUUUUUUUUAGGACUAGUGAUUGACUCAAAGUGGAUGCGUGACUUAAAUUGUUCCAAUUGGAGUGAAGCACAGAAGCCGAGGCCUUCUUCAGGGAGCUAAAUACUUAUACCUGGGCCAGGAGUUGGAGACUUUGAAAGAGGACCCAAGGGAAGUUAGAGCAGCUGCAAAGCCAGCAGGAGCAAUGCAGAGAAGAGUCAGAAUAUGUGUAAGAGGAGUCCUAUCUGGAGAAGAAGAAGAAGGUGGGGGAGGAGGACAAGAAUGAGAAGGAGAAGGAGAAAGAGAAGAAGAAGAAGAAGAAGAAGAAGAAGAAGAAGAAGAAGAAGAAGAAGAAGGAGGAGGAGGAGGAGGAGGAGGAGGAGGAGGAGGAGGAGAAGGAGAAAGUCCUCUGACUUAGUGGAAACAAGGAAUCAGAUAUGCAUGUAUUUCAAGAUAAAAAUCUCAUGAGCAUGGAGUUGAGGAUAAAGAUGAAAGUAGAGUAGAUUUUCUGUCAUUGGAAAAGACAAUAUGGGUGUGAUCCCACCAGAAUAAAACAUGGUAAUGUGAUAGGGAAAGGAAAGACCUGCUCUCAGCUCUUUUGUCAAAUUCAAAGCAUAUAACUCACAUGCUCUGGGGAAGUUGAGAACAAGAGCAUCCAUUUUAAAGGCACAGAAUGGAAAGACAAAGGAUGUGGCUGAACCUCGGUGGGCAAUGUAGCAUCCUCAAGGGAGAAAGAGGCUUCGCAGCUGAGCCACAGUAGAUACCAGUGCAAGAGAUCAGAAGCAAGUAUCAAACAUCCUGAAACAGUGAUGGGUAAAAAUACAGAAAACAAAGUUUGAACACAAGCACUCUCUCCCCCAUUGCCUUUAGGGCACAUAGCCCCUCCUACCACUAUCACUAUGAGUCUACUCUGUAAGUUACGUAGAAUGAGAAGAAAAUCCACAAGGUACAAUAUUUAUUUGAAAUUCUUACCAAAGAAGUGGAAGUAUUAUUAAUUGUCAAGGCAAAGACUUUCCCUGCUACACACUGGAGUGGAGGCUCAUAAAAAAUAUUCAGUUAUAGAAAAAAAAGAGAUAAACUACAUUUUCCUUAUACAGUGGUAGAUUUGCCAUAUUCUCACUGUACCACGAAAGAAGCCAGCCUGAAGACAAAGGACAGAACAAAGAGAAUCAGGGAAAAAUAGAACCAGAGCCUUGCCUCAUCAAACUUGCAAGAAACCUGCUGACCCCCUGCAUUAAUAAGCCAAUCAUUUGUUGUUUGAUUCUUUUAUUGUU